GUAUAUGGAACUUUGGAUCCACAGAAUGAGAAUCGAAGAGUUGGGACUUUGGCUUUCAGGAAUAUUAAGAAUUCAAGUGUGUCUGAUGUCACUGGAGAAUCUAAACCAUCAGCUCUCUUCAUGUGGCUUUGACUUGCACAGAGAUCUGGGCAAGAACUAUAUCUUCAGUCAUAUACAGUGGAUGUUUUGUGCAGUCAGAGAUUAAUACAUAGUCAUUAUGUGAUUGUGCUGAACUUGCUGAAGAGAGUAAGUCGUUUCGGAGGCAGGACUCAAAAGUUUAUGAUGAAGUGUCCUGCUGUGCCAGCACCUCCUAAUAGAGAGUACAUUCAGUGUGAUUCAGACUUCAUUCAGGUUACCAGAGACAUCCCUGUAGAUAACUGGAAUAAUGAGCUUGACUGGUCUCUGGCUUUGAGAGGGAGUCUGGUGGUGGCUUUGGAUGAUUCUAGUCUUAUUUAAGUAAAUGUGGAGGAAGGACGUUCAAGGGAGGAAGGACACAGUGUUAAGUCCUGUGCAGGGGCGGACUGGCCAUGGGGAGAACCGGGACUUUUCCCGGGGGGCCAUACAGGCGGCGAUAAGCUGAAACGGGCUGCCACGUUUGGCCACGACUGGCUCAAGAGGGCCGCAAAACGGCACCGCGAUAUGCAGAAAAGGACAGCGACAACCGCUCAACAACUUUCUCUUCCCAGUCCACCCAUGUUGGUGUUAGAAGCUGUACUGUCAUCUAUCGAUGUUGAUGAGCAUGAUCGUCUAUUAUUUGCAUCUGGAAAAUGUUGGAGUUUGAGUGAACUGCUCCUCAUCUGCAGACACAGUGUUGCAUAUCUAUAAGCGGUGCAUAGGUUUGACUAAAAAAGGUGGCUAUCAAAAUGAAACCCUCACUGUCAGUAGUGUGUUUGUGGAACAGACUGACAAUUUCACCUGGUCAGAGACUAUUGACUUUGUGCAGCUUAUCAUUUCCACAUCCCUCAUUCAACAGACAAAGGUUAGUGUAUAACAUUAUGCUUAUUGUUUUAAACCAAGAUCCAUAUCUAUUUAUGUACAUGUGUGUGGGUAUAUAAAGGUAUUCAGAUACUUGACCUUGUAUAAUUCCCACAUUGAAAUGUGUCAGUCUGUGAUGUAUUUAUUUCAGAGCACUGGUACUUAAAUUUUUUAUUUUUGUUGUUGAUAUUUUAUAGUUUUCUUGUAUUCACAUUCUCUCACUGGUUCUGUUUCAGUAUUUCACUUUAUUUUGCACCAUCCACUUGUAAUUGAGAAAAAUGAGACAAUUAGUUAAUACUUCUG